GCUUCGAUAGUGUAGUGGUUAUCACGUUUCCUUCACACGGAAGAGGCCCCAGUUCGAUCCUGGGUCGAAGCA